rnacentral:snRNA from 1 species
AUACUUACCUGGCGUAGGGGAUACUGUGAUCAUGCAGGCGGUUCCCCCAGGGCGAGGCUGCUCCAUUGCACUGCGGAGUGGUUCACCCUUGCGAUUAUUUUUAUUUUUAUCAAUAAAAAAAUCAUAAUAAAACAUGUAUUCCCGAAUGAUUAUUUUCUUUAUAC